GAUGAACGCUGGCGGCGUGCCUAAUACAUGCAAGUCGAGCGAACGGACGAGAAGCUUGCUUCUCUGAUGUUAGCGGCGGACGGGUGAGUAACACGUGGAUAACCUACCUAUAAGACUGGGAUAACUUCGGGAAACCGGAGCUAAUACCGGAUGAUAUUUUGAACCGCAUGGUUCAAUAGUGAAAGACGGUCUUGCUGUCACUUAUAGAUGGAUCCGCGCUGCAUUAGCUAGUUGGUAAGGUAACGGCUUACCAAGGCAACGAUGCAUAGCCGACCUGAGAGGGUGAUCGGCCACACUGGAACUGAGACACGGUCCAGACUCCUACGGGAGGCAGCAGUAGGGAAUCUUCCGCAAUGGGCGAAAGCCUGACGGAGCAACGCCGCGUGAGUGAUGAAGGUCUUCGGAUCGUAAAACUCUGUUAUUAGGGAAGAACAAAUGUGUAAGUAACUGUGCACAUCGUGACGGUACCUAAUCAGAAAGCCACGGCUAACUACGUG
rnacentral:rRNA from 1 species